GACGAACCGUGCGAACGUUGUUCGGAUUCACUGGGCUUAAAGGGCGCGUAGGCGGCUUGCCAAGUCAGGGGUGAAAUCUUUCGGCUCAACCGGAAAAGUGCUUCUGAUACUGGCAGGCUGGAGGGAGGUAGGGGCAGAUGGAACUUCCGGUGGAGCGGUGAAAUGCGUAGAUAUCUGGAGGAACACCGGUGGCGAAGGCGGCAUCCUGGACCAACACUGACACUGAGGAGCGAAAGCCAGGGGAGCAAACGGG
rnacentral:rRNA from 1 species